CUGCCUGCGACGUGUUGUCUCUCUUUCUUUAUCAUCGACUUGGAGACUGAAUUCAUUUUUCGUCCCUACAGAUGCAUUUCAUAAGAAGGGCCUCAGCCAUGCAUCCAACCGGAUCAACCAGAUUAUGCUUCACUUACAAAGACAGGCAGAGGAUAGAAGUUCCAGAACCUAAAUUGAAGGCGUACUAGCUGACCGGGAGCUGAGCCACGGAGCCAGCACAGAAACCCCAGAGCACUACUCGCACUGCACAGCACAGCACAGCACAGCACAGCACUAUCCCACACCACCUGUACUGGAGCAUUUUCCCCGUGCACAAAGGUGGACCUUGGGUGGAUGAUUGUUUAUUCUUUGGGACUGAAAACCUGCCGUGUUUACUCCCUGAUACCAUUGCUGGUAGGAGGGGCAGAUUUAUUGUUUACUUUUUAAAUAAACACAGACGAUUUGAUAAUUG